GGUGGGGGCAUCAUCUUCAUUUUCUUGGUUCUCCACCGAAAAUUGAAGUGAUAAGCUCCAUGAAAAGAGCUUGAAAUUUUGGCUAUAUCAAGCUUAUGCAUAUGUAAAACCUUUGGGCUUGGCACUUGGUGCCGAGGUGUGUUAUGAGAGAGAUGUUAGGCUAGGCACUUGGUGUCGAGACGUGUUACCGAUUGGAUUAGCUCAUUGGAGUGUUUUUGCGUGUUUCGAAUUGAUAAUUGUGUACUCAUAUUUGUAUAUCGUUCAUCGAGUAAUGUUUCUUAUAUUGAAUGGUUUGUUAUUGAAUGUUAUAA